rnacentral:rRNA from 1 species
GUGUCAGCAGCCGCGGUAAGACGAGGGAUCCUAGCGUUGUUCGGAAUCACUGGGCGUAAAGCGUUUGUAGGCGGCUCUAUAAGUCGGGUGUGAAAUCCCAUGGCUCAACCAUGGAAGUGCAUUCGAAACUGCAGAGCUUGAAUAUGGUAGAGGAGAGUAGAAUUCCUGGUGUAGUGGUGAAAUACGUAGAUAUCAGGAGGAAUACCGGUGGCGAAGGCGGCUCUCUGGACCAAUAUUGACGCUGAGAAACGAAAGUGCGGGGAUCAAACAGGAUUAGAAACCCCCGUAGUCC